CUGUGCCUCGGGGGGCAGCAGUAGGGAAUUUUCGUCAAUGGGCGCAAGCCUGAACGAGCGAUGCCGCGUGAACGAGGAAGGUCUUCGGAUCGUAAAGUUCUGUUGAAGGGGAAAAAGAGCGGAGAGAGGAAAUGGUCUCCGAUUGAUAUUACCCUUCGAGGAAGUCACGGCUAACUACGUGCCAGCAGCCGCGGUAAUACGUAGGUGGCGAGCGUUAUCCGGAAUGAUUGGGCGUAAAGGGUGCGUAGGCGGCCUGCUAAGUCUGAUGUGAAAGCCUUCGGCUCAACCGGAGAAUUGCAUCAGAA
rnacentral:rRNA from 1 species